rnacentral:tRNA from 1 species
GGGCGGUUAGCUCAGUUGGUUAGAGCACUUGCCUUACAAGCAAGGGGUGACUGGUUCGAGUCCAGUACCGCCCACCA